CCCUUAUUUCUUCUGGCUAUCGUCCACCAACUCCGGCUCAAUCACCUCGGCUUCAAUCGGCUCAGAGCUGACAGGUGAGUCUCGCUGCAGGUUCAUCUCAGCGGGUUGAGCGUGCGAGGCCCACUUGCUGGCCAUAGCUGUGCUCAUCAUCUCAUAUAUCUUCCCACUUAGCUCGGCAGGGUGUACUUACUGUAAAGCCACUAGAGAUCAUAGAAGUUUCAAACAGGAUAUCUACAGCCUUUAGAGCUUCUGGGUCAUCAGGCAGACCGAACACUUACAUUCAAGCCCUUGAUGAUCUCAUGCUCUGGGUUGAUUUCAAAAACUUUCCUAGAACGCAUGAAAUCCAGAGAUGACAUGUCACCCAUAGAUUGCGCUCUCAUCAACCUACUAACCUUUCCAUGUUCGCAGACCAACCAAACUUAGCUGCAACUAGAACACAUGGUGAUGAGCUGAGACGGUUUGAUAUAUCAACUCGAGCAACCUUUUCACCCAAGCGUUUCUUGAUCCAGUCACAUGUUUGGCUGUAUUCCUGCUUGAUCUCCUUCUCUUUUUCCUCAUUCUUAUCACCUAAUCCAAGUCUUCCUUGCUAAUAUCAACGAAACGCUUAUCCUUGUAGGAGUUCAGAUUUGUGACAGACACUUCAUCCAUUGGCUAUUCACAGUACAUACCUCGUACUCUUUUUCAUUGAGCUUCUCCAGGAAAGGAGCAUGUUUUGCACUACUCAAACUGUCCGCAGCAAUGUAGUAAAUGUCCUUUUGCUCAGGUUUCAUAUUUUCCACGUAUUCAUCCAAGCUAAUUAAUUCUUCAUUGCUUUGAGAAGAAAAGAAUCGGAGCAAAGGAGCAAUUCUCUUGUGAUUUUCC
rnacentral:sRNA from 1 species